ACACUGUACGAGUUUGAUCAUGGCUCAGAGCGAACGCUAGCGGCGAGCUUAACACAUGCAAGUCGAGCGGAGGGUUUCGGCCCUCAGCGGCGGACGGGUGAGUAACACGUAGGUUACGUGCCCUUUGGUGGGGAAUAACGUAGGGAAACUUACGCUAAUACCGCAUAAGAACUGAGGUUGAAAGCGGCGGACCGCAAGGCGUCGCGCGAUUGGAUGAACCGAUGUCCGAUUAGCUAGUUGGCGGGGUAAAGGCCCACCAAGGCGACGAUCGGUAGCUGGUCUGAGAGGACGACCAGCCACACUGGAACUGAGACACGGUCCAGACUCCUACGGGAGGCAGCAGUGGGGAAUAUUGGACAAUGGGCGCAAGCCUGAUCCAGCCAUGCCGCGUGGGUGAAGAAGGCCUUCGGGUUGUAAAGCCCUUUUGUCCGGAAAGAAAAGCAUUCGGUUAAUACCCGGGUGUUCUGACGGUACCGAAAGAAUAAGCACCGGCUAACUUCGUG
rnacentral:rRNA from 1 species